AUGGUGCUCUCCCGGGCCGUCUCGGACACCGACGUGUCGGUGCACUCCACGUUCGCCUCGCGCUAUGUCCGGUCGUCUCUCCCGAGGUACCACAUGCCGGAGAAGUCGAUCCCCAAGGAGGCGGCGUACCAGAUCAUCAACGAUGAGCUGAUGCUGGACGGCAACCCGCGGCUGAACCUGGCGUCGUUCGUCACGACGUGGAUGGAGCCCGAGUGCGACAAGCUCGUCAUGGCCUCCAUGAACAAGAACUACGUGGACAUGGACGAGUACCCCGUCACCACCGAGUUCCAGAACCGGUGCGUGAACAUGAUCGCGCAUCUCUUCCACGCGCCACUGGGUGAGUCGGAGACGGCCGUGGGCGUGGGCACGGUGGGUUCAUCGGAGGCCAUCAUGCUGGCGGGGCUGGCCUUCAAGAGGAAGUGGCAGAACAAGCGCAGGGCCGAGGGCAAGCCAUUCGACAAGCCCAACAUCGUCACAGGCGCCAACGUCCAAGUCUGCUGGGAGAAGUUCGCCAGGUACUUCGAGGUGGAGCUCAAGGAGGUGAAGCUGCGGGAGGGGUACUACGUGAUGGACCCGGAGCAGGCGGUGGAGAUGGUCGACGAGAACACCAUCUGCGUCGCGGCGAUCCUAGGCUCGACGCUCAACGGCGAGUUCGAGGACGUGAAGCGCAUCAACGACCUGCUCGAAGAGAAGAACAAGGAGACAGGGUGGGAGACGGCGAUCCACGUGGACGCGGCGAGCGGCGGCUUCAUCGCGCCGUUCCUGUACCCGGAGCUGGAGUGGGACUUCCGGCUGCCGUGGGUGAAGAGCAUCAACGUCAGCGGCCACAAGUACGGCCUCGUCUACCCCGGCAUCGGCUGGUGCGUCUGGCGCACCAAGGACGACCUGCCGGACGACCUCGUCUUCCACAUCAACUACCUCGGCACCGACCAGCCCACCUUCACGCUCAACUUCUCCAAGGGCUCCAGCCAGGUCAUCGCGCAGUACUACCAGUUCAUCCGCCAAGGCUUCGAGGGGUACAGGAACAUCAUGGAGAACUGCCAGGAGAACGCCAUGGUGGUCAAGGAGGGCCUGGAGAGGACGGGCCGCUUCAACAUCGUGUCCAAGGACCAAGGCGUGCCGCUCGUGGCCUUCUCCCUCAAGGACCACACCCGCCACGACGAGUUCGAGGUCUCCGACAUGUUGCGCCGCUUCGGCUGGAUCGUGCCGGCGUACACCAUGCCCGCCGACGCGCAGCACGUCACGGUGCUCCGCGUCGUCAUCCGGGAGGAGUUCAGUCGCACCCUCGCCGAGCGCCUCGUCCUCCACAUCGACACCGUCAUGAACCAGCUCGACGCGCUCCCGUCCAACAGCGUCUGCCAGUAA
rnacentral:rRNA from 1 species